rnacentral:lncRNA from 1 species
AAGAGUUUGGAUUUGUACGAAGCGAAGACGAAUCUUGUGUAUAUGUCAAAGCCAGUGGGAGUAUAGUAAGCUUCCUCGUUCUAUAUGUCGAUGACAUAUUACUCAUAGGAAACGACAUCCCGACUCUGCAGGAGGUUAAGUCCUGGCUCGGGAAGUGCUUCGCUAUGAAGGACCUCGGAGAGGCUUCUUACAUUUUGGGAAUAAGGAUAGUAAGAGAAAGAAGUAAGAGACUAAUUGGACUUAGUCAGAAUACUUACUUAGAGAAGGUACUAAAACGUUUUAGUAUGGAAAACUCAAAGAAGGGAGAACUACCGAUACAAAGUAAUGCCAAAUUGAGUAAGACUCAAAGUCCGAGUACCGAAGCUGAGAUAGCAGAAAUGAGCCGAGUACCAUACGCUUCCGCAGUUGGCUCAAUCAUGUACGCUAUGACUUGUACUCGCCCUGAUGUAGCCUUCGCUUUGAGCAUGGUUAGCAGAUAUCAAGGGAAUCCUGGCAAAGCACAUUGGAUUGCGGUGAAGAAUAUCCUUAAGUACCUUCGGAGGACGAAGGAAUGGUUCUUAGUCCUCGGAGGGAGUGAUGACUUGAAGGUGCGAGGGUAUAGUGACGCCAGUUUUCAGACCGACAGGGACAACUACCGUUCGCAGUCGGGCUGGGUCUUUACCCUAAAUGGAGGAGCAGUGACAUGGAAGAGUUCCAAGCAGGAAACCGUAGCUGAUUCAACGUGCGAAUCAGAGUACAUUGCAGCGAGCGAAGCGUCGAAGGAGGCAAUAUGGCUAAAGAACUUCAUCGGUGAUCUUGGAGUCGUACCUGCCAUAAAGGAGCCAAUGGAGAUUUUCUGUGAUAACGAAGGUGCGGUUGCCUUAACCAAGGAACCGAGGGAUCAUGGUAGAUCAAGACAUAUCGACAGAAAGUAUCACUUCAUUAGACAUCGUGUAGAAGAAGGACAACUCGUAGUGAAGAGGAUAUCAUCAGAAGAUAACCCAGCAGAUCCGCUUACGAAGGGACUGAGUAGGGUUAAGCACUUGCAGCAUGCUAGGAGUAUUGGGCUGAAGGAUGAUAUUAGCAUAGAUUAGAUAGUAUUAGAAACGUGUAAUAGAUAAAUGUAAUUGACAUUUGAUGAUUAAAUAAAGGAGUUUUAUUUAUGAGUAAUGUUACUAUCUUAUGUUAAUUGUUUAGCUAUUGUUUCACUUUGCAUGUUUUGACUUCCAGAAUAAUUGAGUUUAUUAGGAAUAAUCGAAUUAUUCAAAUGGUCCACAAUCGUUCAUAUGUUGGGAGUAGAUAUGAAAGAAGAUUGUCAUGAAUUGGUGUGUAGAAUGUCUAAAUGGUGUUAGACAUAGCAAAGGAUUGCUGCAACGUUCAUGAGUGCUUAUGAACUAGUUUUGAGCAUUGGAAUAAACCCGCGCUUGCUGGAAUCACCUUAUGGAAUACGAUAUAAAAGGUGAUCGCAAGACGAUAAUAUCAUAUAGUCUUAAAACCUAGAUAUAUGGUUUAUUAUUUGUUAAUUGAUUGUACAUUGAUAAUACGAAAACGCAUCAGUAACUUGGUGUUAUAAAACGUAUUGUUGUGUAUAGUUGGUUAAUGAAUAAGUAAAUGCAUAUAAGUCGAAGUUUAUCUGUAACUUUUAUCUAAGAAGGUAAAAGCGAUAUCUCGGCCGCUCGAUGAUUUGAUUUGACUUAUGUGCCGGGCCCGGUCAGAACUGAAUUGAUGUGUUCGAUUAAGUUCUAUGUCAAAUAAAUCAGAGAUCGAGAAACCUAAAUGCUUGACUAACCAUUCCAUAGGAUUGUCAGCAUGAUAUCUAACAGAGGACUGUACGUUCCCUUAUCUAAAGGACAAGAUUGAUUAGAUCAGAGUUGACAGCGUCUUUGAGAGCUACGAUUGCAAACCGAAUUGUACUUGUAUAGUUACUAGACUUAUCCAAGUGGGAGACUGUUGGAAUAGUGUCUAAGGCUGUAACUAUAUCCGGUUGUGCAUGGUCCUUUUGGGUUGCCUUCACCAUAGCAACUUGAUAGGAUGAUUUAUUAAGAGAGAAUAAAUAUUAUUAAUAUAUUAUGGGAAUAAUAUAAUGAAUAAUAUAUUUGUUAUUUGAUUAAUAUAAGUCAUAGAAUUAAUUAGAAUUAAUUUGGUGACUUAAAGAGAUUAAUUAAAUAAAGGGGUAUAAACUGUCAAUUGUUUGAUAGUUAAGCUUUAAACUGUAAAUCCAUUUGGAUAUACUAUGGACGAAUUCUAAGAGGAUUAGGAUAGCUAAAAUCGUCCAUUAGAGUUAUCUAGGAAUGGAUUUGGAUAGCCUUAAGAGAAGAUUAUCUGAUAGGGACUUAUCUGUAAUCCUUAAGGAGUCUACAAGUAUAAAUAGACCCCAUGGCUGAUGGAAUUCGACACUUGACCUAAAGUAAGGAACCUCUGGUCGAAAUUCCUCCCCUCUCCUCUCUCCCAAAUCAUCCUCCUUGCUUUGGUGUUUGUAAGCCAUUAGAGGAGUGACAUUUGUGACUCUAGAAGCUCCAAGACCUCAAGAUCAACAAGGAACUCAAAGGUAUGAUUCUAGAUCUGUUUUAAUGUUCUUGUUUAACCUAAUUAGUAAUUAGAAGUCUUGGAUUCAAAGCAUGUUUAUUAGAAAGCCUAGAUCCAAGCAUUAGGGUUUUGCAUGCGCACAUAGGAAAGUUCUUAUGGCUAAAACCCAUCAGUGGUAUCAGAGCCUAGCUUGGUUUUCUGUAAAUUGUUGCUUGAUUAACUGAAACAAACCUGCAAAAUUCGAAUUUUUGGUUUCUGAGUCAUGGACUCGGCGAGUCUCAAAGUGGACUCGGCGAGUAGGCCUGACUCGGCGAGUCCAUUUGUGCACUCGGCGAGUCCAGGCGUCAGGAAUGGCCAGAUUCGGGAUUUCUUUGUGUUUAUCUUAUCUUAACUUACCAUAAACUAAUUAGAUCAACAUUAAUUCGUUUUUCUGAUAAAUAUAACUAUUAUCUUGAUCUAGUUAAAGGUAAUUAUCAACUAAUUAAAUAUUUAAUUUCCUUAUAUGAUAAUUAAUUAAUUAUUUUGAUUAUUUUGGUAAUUAUCUUUAAAAGAAAUCUUGAAUAAAUCAAAUAUAGAUAAUUAGGAUAUUAAUUGUUAAUUGGAAUUAUUUGUUAUUUGAUCCUCCAUGUUUUAAAUGUUUAAAACCUACCCUCAUGUUUUGAAAUUUACUUUUGUGAUUAAAAGUUUUAAUUUAGACAACUUAAAUUUCAAACCCUAGAUUUUAAAAGUUUUAAAAUACAACCCUAUACUAAUAUGAUAUUACUAGAAUAAUAUAUAUAUGUAUAACUAAAUGCUAGUCUUACCGUUAGUAGGCCUCAUUCACGAAGCCGAUCUAUAAGGUGGGUAUAAGGUUGCGGCCUAUAAAAUGGCGCUUAAUGGGUGUACACUCACACCCACCGCUUGCUUGAUUGGUGGAGGGUCGUUAGCCGAACGGGUAGGAUAGGGCAACCUCAUCCUCUCAUUAAAAGUAUAAUAAGAAAUAUAAAGUAACUACACAUUUUUUUAAAAUUUCCCAAUCCUAGUUACUUUAGGAAAAGUGAAUUGAUGCAAUCCCAUGAAAUUACACUUUGCACCUUGCUAAGAUGUUAGUGGAGCGUGUGUGGUUUACCGGCACACUAAUUGGUUCUAAGCGAAGGUGGCAAAGGGUGAUUCAUUGUUUAUCAUAGUUCGAUGGAGCGUGUGUGGUUUACCGGCACAUCGAAUAGGUGAUCGUUACAAUGAAGGCACCAUGUGAAUUUGCAUGGUAAUUCACACCCGCUUUGUGAUCCUCGGCAUCCCAGUCACAAACAAGAGGGGCAUAUCGAGAUUUAAACAUGCCAUUGAAUAGUUUCAAUGAAUCUCAUCCGAACCUAGGAAUUCUCAAAAACACUUAGGACUAAUAGUUUAAGUUUUGUGAUGGAGAAUUAGUGAAUCGUCAUUCACUUACCUUCAAUUUAUUUGCAUGUUAGAUUACGGCAUCCCUUUUCUAGUAUGUAAAUGUUAUUGUUGGAUCCUAGCCCUAAUUUUCUUAUUGGGUGAUAAUUAGGGAUUCUUAUUCUAAUCUAUCUUUGUCCUUUUCUAAUUGUAGAUGUCGAACGCAAACAACGCUGCUGCUAGUUCUUUCACGUUGAUGAGCCUUUGCCAAAAGGUCACCUUCGAUGGAACGAACUUUAGCGAAUGGAUAAGAUACAUUCGCACCAUUGCUCGCUAUGAGGAUAAGGAGUAUGUCCUCGAUGAGAAGCUCGAGAAAAUCAACCCCGAAAUUGCUACUCCCGCCGAAAUCACCGCCUUUGAAACUCAUGAGCGAGAUGCAACGAAGGUACAUUGCAUCAUGAUCGCCACCAUGAACUCCGAAUUCCAAAAGUCCUACGAGGACAUGUACCCGUACGAGAUGCAUCAAGACUUAUUGGAGAGGUACCACCAAAACGCGAGACAAGAGAGGUACGAGAUUUUCACUAACAUGAUUUCCGCGAAGAUGGGUCAUGGAGAAUCUCUUACCGUGCACUUGCAAAAGAUGCAAAGGUAUGUUGACCGCCUCCGCAAGUUAAAUGUUGACUUCGGUGAAGACUUGGCGAUCGACAUGGUGCUUCACUCUUUGCCUCCGAUGUACAACCAAUUUAGGAUGACCUACCACAUGAACAAAGAAGAGGUCACCCUAAGCAAGCUCCAAGGUCUCUUGAGGGUUGCUGAGAGCAACUUCAAAGACAAGUCUGUUGCACCUACUCCCAAUCCGCCCGCUGCUCCUGUCUUGGCUAUUGGACAAGGGAAGGGAAAGAAGAGGAAAGCUUCAUCGAAGAACUAUCGCAAGGUGAAAGCCCGAGAUGGUGCCUCUUCUAGUGGGACCAAAGUUGAUCCCGCCAAGCCCUGCUCUAACCCGAAGGAGGCAGAGUGCCACCACUGCCACAAGAUAGGACAUUGGAAGAGAAGCUGCCCGGAUUACCUGCAAGCAAUCAAAGAAGGAAAGAUCAAGCCAUCUUUCGCAGGUAUAUAUACAAUCAAAUCUAACGAUUCUAAUCAUGCUAUUUCUUGGGUUCUUGAUACCGGUUGUGGUUAUCACAUUUGUUCUAAUGUGCAGGGACUAAGAAGAAGUAGGGAUGUGGAGCAAGGAAGGAUCAAUCUAAUCAUGGGGAACAGAAGAUCGUCGCCUGUGACCAAGAUUGGAGUGUAUUCCUUAGUGCUUAGGAAUAGUUUAGUUUUAGAUUUGAACAAUUGUUGCUAUUCGCCAGAAAUGGCUAGAAACAUCAUUUCAUUUCAUGGUUUAUAUAGACAAGGAUUUAGAUUUUCUUUUAAUAAUGAGAAUGGUUCUAUUUUGGCUUAUCUAAAUGGUGUCUUUUACUUUGAAGCUAUACCAUGUAAUGGAAUAUAUGAAACCGUUAUGAUUGUUGAUAACUUAGGAAAUGAUGUUUUGAAUAUUGAUUCUUCCACUAGUAUGGAUAAAGCAUCCUUGUGGCAUUGUCGUCUUGGACAUGUCAACAAGAAACGCAUAGCCCAACUCCAAAAGGAUGGAGUGUUGGAGUCAUUCGACCUUAGGGAAGAUGACACAUGCGAGUCUUGUUUACUUGGAAAGAUGACUAAGUCACCCUUCACGAGUACAUGUGAAAGGGGCGAGGGUCUAUUGGACCUAAUACAUACCGAUGUAUGUGGACCGUUUAGAUCAACCACGAAGGAUGGGAACCGCUUCUAUGUGACUUUUACCGAUGACUAUAGUAGAUAUGGGUAUAUCUACUUAAUCAAGCAAAAGUCAGAAACCUUUGAAAAGUUCAAAGAGUUCAAGAAUGAAGUGGAGAAUCAAUUGGGCAGGAAAAUCAAGAUGCUUCGAUCCGAUCGAGGAGGAGAGUACCUAAGUCUUGAAUUCCACGAUUAUCUCAAGGAGUGUGGAAUAGUUUCACAAUUGACGCCUCCUAGGACACCGCAGUUGAAUGGUGUGGCAGAAAGGCGUAAUCGAACCUUAUUGGAUAUGGUUCGCUCUAUGAUGAGUCGUGCUUCACUACCUAUCUCUUUUUGGGGGUAUGCCUUAGAGACUGCCGCCCAUAUCCUUAACCGAGUUCCUACUAAGAAGGUUGCCAAAACACCUCACAAGAUGUGGACAGGGAAGGCUCCCUCGUUAGCACAUAUCAAGGUUUGGGGUUGCGAGGCUUUCAUAAGACGAGAUACUCACGACAAGCUCGAACCUCGUAGUGAGCGAUGUAUUUUCAUCGGCUACCCGCAGAAAUCCUUUGGAUAUCUCUUCUAUAGACCUAAGGACAAUGUUGUCUUUGUUGCGAGGAGAGGAUUUUUCCGAGAGCGAGAACUCAUAAGCCAAGGAGAUAGUGGGAGGCAAAUCGAGCUUGAAGAGUGUAGUGGUGUUGAUUAUGAUGGUAUGUGCGGAAUUAGAAAAUAUCUAGUGAUUCAUCAUACAAAAUCAAGAACACAAGGAGUAAAUAAAUCUUUGUAAGCUCUUAUUAGAUCAAGAAAGAUUAUACAAAUGGGUUUGUAUACAAUUUCUCUCUCUAGUCUAACAUUCCAAAUUGUUCACUUACAUAAUGGGAGCCACUCACUUCCUAUUUAUAGGAAAGACUCAACCCAUUUACACAUAUAAAGAGGAAAGCCUAAACACUACAUCCAAGCGUGACUUUGCACCCUAACAUUCUCCUCCUCAAAGUUCGGAUUGGAUGUCCAGCUUCAAUCUCCAACGAGCUAGCGCGAUUAAGACCAAACUCCCCCUCGAAGUAACACCGGUCUUCAAAUCCGCAAAUGAAUAUUCGACACACCCGAGAAGCUUUGAAUACCCAUCAUUUUCUCCCCCUUUUUAUAAUCAAAAAUGAUUAUAAAACCCACUAAGGAUGAGAAGCGCCCGAGGAAUAGUCUUCACGAUACUCCCCCUUGAUGUGUACCAAAAAUGAAUCUCCAAAAAUCUUGCACAGAAAAACAAUCACGAAAAAGCCACAAAAAAUUUCCAAUUUAUGAAAAUUAUUGACUUUUUGAGUGAAAGUUGCAAGAUUUUUCAAAAUCCGGGGUAGAAAUUGUCACUUUCUGAAACUUGCAGGGACCCGUUGCGCCAAAAACAGUCAAAUAUGCGAAACUCUAGCCCAUUUGCGAAACCGGGCAUAAAGCGUAAAUUCGCACAAACUGCAGGGACCAGAACUAAAAAUUCUGCAAUCUCUCAGCUUAUAUUUCCAAUUUGCGAAGUUAGGUAUAAACUGUCAUUUCGUGAAAAGAUCAGGGGUGCAAACUGAAAUUCAUUGUGUUCUUCCCCAAAUCACCAUAUGCAGUAAAAGACUUCGCGUUUUCAUUCAUAUUUCUUCGCAUCUUGUAUCCAUCUAAACAAAUGCGAACUGUUAAUCACCUUCGCAUUUUAAUCCAAUUAAUCAAAUGCGAAAUUAACUGAGAAACCCAGAUGUGAACCCGUCUUUGAGUCACUCAUAUGCAAACUUAGUUUUGAUUCCAAAAUUGAACAAAUCUCACUCUCAGAUGCGAACCCGAUUUUAGUCUCUAUAACCAAAUGCGAAGUGAGUUUGACCAUCAACCACAUAGUUGUCUUCAUUCGCAUUUCAUUAACAGUCCACGGUUCGUUCAUCAAAAAAAACCUCCAAGUCUAAACAAGAUCAAUAUGCGAACACAAAAUUGAGACCCAAAUGCGAUUCCAACAGAACUCCAAAUCUUCACAGGUCUUCACACCAUAAUUAUAGAUGCGAAUGAAGAACUCGAUGCAAAAUCAAAAAUCGACAUCACUUCUUAUUUGCGAAAUCUAUACCACCGAUACCAAAAUCAAUUCUAUUUACAAAAUCCAAGUCAUCGAUCAUUCACAGAUGAGACCCAGACUAACCAUCCAGGUUGCCGACUUUGCUUUUAUUCUUCAAAUUCAUCAAUUUCGACUGCCUUCAUCUUCAAUCACUUCAUCAUUUGAACAUUGAAAUCAAAUCCCAGCACAAUUUGUUCAAGAAACAAAUAUGAACGAACACAGUGUUCGUUCAUGAUGAACAUACACCCAUUUACUUCCAAAUUCGAAAUUAAUCCCAAAUUAAGCUAGAUUUCGACUCUAACAGCCUCAAAACAACUUGUAACUAUCAAUAUCAUCAUACGAUUUCACCGAUUCAUCAUUCCAAUUCGUCUCCAGGAAUUCGACUAUCAAUUUGAGCACGACACGUCGAAUCUGAUUUCGAUCGUCAAAUGUCCCAAGCAUAUGUUCAAUGAGUUUGACUCCAAGAAGUCAACUCUAAAAUCAAAAUCGAUAUUAACGUCAAGUAAAAUCAUUCAACUCUAGUACUGAUUUCAUUCAACAAAACGAAUUUCAGAAUGCGAAUACUAACUCCAAUCAAAGACAAUUUCAAUCAAUGCGAAUUCAUUCUUCCGACGCCGAUUGUUCAAGACAAACCAGGCUUUGAUAUUGACAACCGAUUUCAGAUGAGUAAUCUCCAAAUUUGACUCUUGACUUUGUUGAAUCAAAAUCGGAAAUCCGAGAAUAUGAGAUAUCGAUAUAAAGAUAAUGAACAAUGAAGUGAUAUCAAGUUGGGCUUACUGGAUUGACAGUUUGAACUAUCAAUAUUUGGGCUCAAGAUGAACAGUAAUGGACAUUUGAUUUUUGAAAAAUGAUUUCAAUCUUGUUGGAUCAGAUGAACAUUAACGAUUUCGAACAAUUGGGAUAAAAAAAAUAUUGAUUUUGAAAUUAAUAGAAGUUGUGAGAAUAUGAUUUUGAUUUUUGGAAUUUUGAUCUUAACAAGAAUAAUUGGAUCAACAAUGAGGUUAUAACGGAUUAGAUCCAAUGAGGCCAAUCGAUCAAAAAUGAAAAACGAAAAAUACGAAUUGAAAUCAUGGACGUUUUGGAAUCCAUUUGAGAAUUUGAGAUACCUUUUUGAUGAAUCGAGUUCUAUUUUCAACGAACGAAUCAAAUUUGGAAGAUCUUGGUUCUUUUGUCGGAAUGAGAAAAUCUCCAAAUCGAACAUUGUACCACCCACCAUGCGAGAUGUACAACUCGUUCUUCGUGUUCUUCAUCAAACCAAGAACAUCUUCAAAAGAACCACCAACACAUUUGGGUUUUGACUUCAAAUUCAAUGCAACCUUUGGAGAUUGUUGCUUUGGAACCCAAAUUUGCUUCAUGGAUUUUGGCUUCACAACAUUUGAAGAUUUUUGUGAGUAAACCCGCUUGUUUUUACGAUUGAUCUUCUUCUUCUUUUUCUUUCUCAUUUUUUUGCUUCUUAAAGACUUGAUUUCAUGAACAAACCCACUUUCAACAACAUGAACAUUUUUAGUUUGAAUCAAAUCUUUUGGAGUUUGAUAUUUGUGAAUUUCUUGAACCACCGGCUUCCGAUAAGGAAUCAUUCCUUCAAACGAAUCACAAGAACACAAAAUAUCAUCAGUUUGAACUCCAAUUGAGCAAAAAACUUUUUCAUCUUGAGAAUCAACUUGAACUCCUUUUUCUUGAACAUCAAGAACAUCACAUUGAACUCCNUAAGAACAUCUUCAACAAACAUAAGAGCUUGAAGAUCACUUGGGUUUUCAACAAGAGAAAUGAAAUACUCAUCAAACAAUUCUUUUUCCUUUUUUCCUUUUUAUAUCUCUCAUUCUUCAAGUUAUGGCAAACUUUAGUCAAGCAUUCAAUCUUUGAAAGUGGUUGAAAAAUCAAUCCUCCAUGAUCAUCCUUCAAACCUCCAUAAGAAAUCAAAGUAUCCCAUGAAAUCAUUAAGCCUUUCAAUAUUAAUCCAAUGAAUUGUUCUAAACCGAUCUUGUAUUUGACAUAUUUAACGAUCACAAUCCAAGAAGCAUGCUCCAAGUAAACCGUCAUUUUUGAUCACUAGAAUUUGAAGAUUUCUAGAGACAGAAAGUGAUUAUAAAUGGGUUUUCUAGAAAGAGAAAGUGAUACAUGUUGGGGUUGCAAAGUUAUUCAUUCAUGACUUUGUAAAUGUUUGACUUUUGUAAAACCCACUUGCAUGUGGUGCUUUAGCCUUUAGACCCAUUUACAUGUUAGAGUGAGAGAGAGAGACAUGUAAACACCUCUAUAAAUAGUGGGUUCAUACCACUUGUAGAGGUGUGCUUGAGAGAUGUAAAAGUGAGUGUGUAAGUGUGUGUUAAUUAUGUAGUGUAGAUCUAGAUCCUUUUUGUGUAACACCAUAUACAUUCAAUAUAACUCUUAAACACCCAAAUCACCAUGUUCAAUUGUGCAAGCUUUAAUUCCGCAUGUCAAACCAUGUUCCUUGUCACAACAAUUGGUAUCAGAGCUUGGUUUUCACGAUAAACGUGCCUUUUGAAGAACGAUUCUCGGUUUGGCAAUUUUUGUCACAAUUUGAAGCAAUUUUUGGUGAGUCUCUCUCUAUGAUCUCUCUUCAUUUUGUUGAAAUCGUGCGUAAUGUUUUUGAUUUUUGAUCGUUUUGAUUCAUUGGAUCUAAUUCGUUUCAAACCUCAUUGUUGAUCCAAUCAAUUUUUGUUAAGAUCAAAGCCAACCAAAAACAAAAUCAAGUUUACUAUUAAUCUAGAUAUUUCAAGCCCAAAGAUAAAUUCAAAAGAAAAUCAAUUUCGUAUAUUCAAAGAUCCAAUCCAAUCGUUGUUACUGUUCAUCAAUGGAGCCCAAAAUGUCGUAUGGUUACUGUUCUUCAUUCCAAUUUGAGUCCAAUUAAUUUUUCCGAUUAGAUGAGCCCAAGCAUUAUUACAUUUGAUUAACUCAUAUAUCACAUCUUCCGAUUAUUCUCGCAUUCAGUUUAUUUAAGAAUUCAAUCGAAAUUUCAAGAUCCUGUUUAAAUCAAUUGGGAACAUUAACUGUGUUGUUCUUCAUCGUAUGCAUAAAAGUGUUGUACCUUCAAGGUUUUCUUUGAUAUCGGUUGAUGAUUGAAUCGAUUUUCAUAUUUCACGUCUUUCAUCAUAAUCAGUGUUCUUGAGUUCCAAUUUCACUUCUUUGUUUCUUAAAAUCGAUUAGUAAUCUUUGGUUAUUAUAACUUGUGAAUCGAUUUUCUUUAAUUCCGUUGAUUCCUGAAAUCGAUAAUGAUCAAGUUAGUGUGAAAAAUUUCGAAAUUGGUUCGUUGAUUUUGAUGAAAUUUUUGAUCGAGAACAGUUGAAGAUGGUGAAUAAUAGUUGAAAAACACAUUUUGAUCUGAAAUCGGAACUCAAAAUCAUCGAUUUUGUGUUUUUAGAUCGUUGACUCUAAAAGUUAAACACAACUUCUAUGGGUUAAUUCAUGGAAUUGAAAGGAGAAAUAGAUGGAUUUGAGUUCAAUAUGUGAUUUGAAAGAAGAAAUCGAGUUUAAUUUGGAGAUUAAUUGGUUGGAUUUGUGAUUAUGUUGAUGAAUGAUGGAAGGAAAUGCACCAAGAAUGAACAGAUGAUAUCGUUUGGAAUUUAGAUUUUGAAUAGAUUCGCAUUUGGUGAAACUUGCGAAUUCGUUUUUGAUUUUGAGUGUGUUUACUUAAAACUGGAAUUGAAAGUCGAUUGUUUUGAGGUCAUUGUUUGGGUUCGUGUUUGAAAAGCUAAGUAACUGGAAUCGAUUAUUUUGAGUUCGUUGAUCGAUGGUUUUGAUUAUUUGGAAUGGUUGUUGAUUUUGGGAUUCCUGUAAUGAGAAGAAUGAAGAACGAUUGUUCGCAUUAUGAUUGGAGUCGAUGAUUCACUAUUGAAUGGAUGGUUGAGGGAUGAUUCGUGAAGAAAAAUGCGAAGUAAAGAUGGAUCUGUGAUAAUUUUGGAAUGAACUUGGAAGUAAGACAAGAUGAUUCGCAUUUUGUUAUAAAAUGGUGAAUUUGCAUUUGUGAUCAAAGACAGUUCGCAUUUGGUUACAGAGAACAAAAUUUUGGUUCGCAUUUUGGAAUCAAAUUCGCAUUUGUGUAACCACACUGUGUAAGGAAUGUUUAAUUCGCAAUUUGGUGUUUUGUUUUGGAAUCAAAAUGCGAAUUUAUUUCAUUAUGAUUCGCAUUUUGGUGAUUGAAACAUGCGAAGGGAUGCGAAGCGUAUUUGAAUGAAAAUGCGAAGCCUGUUAUUACCAGUUCAAUGAAGAAGAAAGGCAAGAGUUUCGCAUUUGGUCCCUGCUCUUUUCAAGAAAUAACAAAAGCUGACCAACUUCGCAAAUUUGAAGCACAUGCAGAAAUUGUCAAAACGAAUGCCUGUAGUUUCGCAUUUUUGACAGUUUGUACCCAACUUCGCAAAUGGGGUCAUAAAAUGCUGAAAUUGCAGAAUUUUCAAAUAUGGUCCCUGUAGUUUGUGCAAAUUGACGCUUUCUACCCAGCUUUGGAAAAGGGGGAGAGUUUUGCAUAUUUUGUUGUUUUUGGCGCAACGGGUCACUGCAGAAUUUUGAAAUUGACGAUUUCUACCCAUUUUUGAGAAAUUUUGUCAAAGGCGAUCCGUGAACGGCAAUAAAAAUUCAAUAUUUUUUGGAUUUUCCAAUUGAAGCAAAAUGUUUAUGCCACAUGUUAAGGGGGAGUUUUGGCAUGAAAAAUUCCGAAUAGAGCACGUUGUUUUUCCAUGGAGUUUUAUAAUCAAAUUUUGAUUAUAAAAAGGGGGAGAAGUUUUAUAUGGAAAUUCGAACUUGAAUUUUUCAUAUUACGCGAAUUUGAAGACCGAAGUGAUCUUGAAGUUUUGAAGAUUACGAGAUGAUGCAAUUGGAAGUUCGGAAGUGAUGUAUUCGAAAUGGGUUUGGUAUUAUUGAAGAUUUUUGGGGUGUGUUUUUAUGCGCAACUUUUGGGUGAUUAUUUGGAAUUUAUCAUUCGUUGGUGCUCGGAUUGUAUGGUCUCACAUCCUAGAGCCCAAAUUGAAGAGUCAUGGAAGAAUUGAAGAUUGAAGUUCGUUUCGACAUGUGUCACCUUUGAGGCUCGAACCGCGUAGUGCUUGAUUUUGGAAGAUUUGAAGUGGGUCAUUCAUUCCUAACUUUGAGGGGGAGAAUGUUGGGGUUGCAAAGUUAUUCAUUCAUGACUUUGUAAAUGUUUGACUUUUGUAAAACCCACUUGCAUGUGGUGCUUUAGCCUUUAGACCCAUUUACAUGUUAGAGUGAGAGAGAGACAUGUAAACACCUCUAUAAAUAGUGGGUUCAUACCACUUAUAGAGGUGUGCUUGAGAGAUGUAAAAGUGAGUGUGUAAGUGUGUGUUAAUUAUGUAGUCUAGAUCUAGAUCCUUUUUGUGUAACACCAUAUACAUUCAAUAUAUCUCUUAAGCACCCAAAUCACCAUGUUCAAUUGUGCAAGCUUUAAUUCCGCAUGUCAAACCAUGUUCUUUGUCACAACAAUACAAACAAGUAUUCUAGAGAGAGAAAGUCGAAUUAUGGAUCAAAUCAAGGAAAAAUUCGACUUAUAGAACACAAAAACACUCUCUAAACACGAAGAUCAAUGAACAAUAAGAAUCACCAAAUCAAAAUAGCCAUCAAGGAUCAAUUCUUGAUGAAAAUCUAGAACACCCGCUCUGAUACCAAUUGUAGUGGUGUUGAUUAUGAUGGCAUGUGCGGAAUUAGAAAAGAUCUAGUGAUUCAUCAUACAAAAUCAAGAACACAAAGAGUAAAUAAAAUUUUGUAAGCUCUUAUUUGAUCUAGAAAGAUUAUACAAAUGGGUUUGUAUAUAAUUUCUCUCUCUAGUCUAACACUCAAAAUGGUUCACUUACAUAAUGGGAGUCACUCACUUCGUAUUUAUAGGAAAGACUCAACCCAUUUACACAUAUAAAGAGGAAAGCCUAAAAACUACAUCCAAGCAUGACUUUGCACCCUAACAAAGAGAUUCAAGAGUCGAUUGAUGAAGGAACCUCUACCUCUGGCACUCAACCCGAGGAGGAAACUCCGGUUGAACCAAUUGACGAGUCCUUACCUCUUAGACGUUCCGAAAGAGUUAGAGUUCAGCCCUAGUUUUAUGGUUUUCAUAUUACUACCGAAGGGGACACGUAUAUUAGUGAUGGUACACUAAUAAAUCUAGAUGAACCUAAUAGCUAUAAGGAAGCCAUGGCAGGCCCGGAGUCUGCAAAAUGGAAAGAGGCAAUGGACAGCGAGAUCCAAUCCAUGUAUGAUAACCAAGUUUGGAAUUUGGUUGAUUAUGUGCCCGGACGUAAGACCGUUGGGUGCAAAUGGAUCUUCAAGAAGAAGACCAACAUGGAUGGAAACAUACACGCAUAUAAGGUGUGAUUGGUUGCAAAGGGCUUUACUCAAACUCCUGUAGUUAACUAUGAUGAGACCUUCUCGCCAGUUGCGAAGAUAAAAUCUAUUAGAGUGAUGAUAGCAGUUGCCGCAUUUCAUGAUUAUGAGAUUUGGAAAAUGGAUGUAAGGACCGCUUUCCUUAAUGGGAAGUUGGCUGAGGAUGUUUACAUGGCUCAGCCAGAGGGUUUUGUUGAUCCGAAGCAUUCAAAUAGAGUGUGUAAGCUUAAGAAGUCCAUUUAUGGACUUAAGCAAGCAUCUCCCAGAUGGAAUCUUUGCUUCGAUCAGAAAGUUAAAGAGUUUGGAUUUGUACGAAGUGAAAAUGAAUCAUGUGUCUAUGUCAAAGGCAGUGGGAGUAUAGUAAGCUUCCUCAUUCUGUAUGUUGAUGACAUACUACUCAUAGGAAACAACGUCCCGACACUGCAGGAAGUUAAGUCCUGGCUCAGGAAGUGCUUCGCUAUGAAGGACCUCAGAGAGGCUUCUUAUAUUUUGGGAAUAAGGAUAGUGAGAGAAUGAAGUAAGAGACUAAUAGGACUUAGUCAGAAUACUUACUUAGAUAAAGUACUAAAACAUUUUAGUAUGGAAAACUUGAAGAAGGGAGAAUUACCGAUACAAAGUAAUGCCAAGUUGAGUAAGACUCAAAGUCCGAGUACCGAAGCUGAAAUAGCAGAAAUGAGCCGAGUACCAUACGCUUCCGCAGUUGGCUCAAUCAUGUAUGCUAUGACUUGUACUCGCCCUGAUGUAGCCUUUGCUUUGAGCAUGGUUAGUAGAUAUCAAGGGAACCCUGGCAGAGCCCAUUGGAUUGCGGUGAAGAAUAUCCUUAAGUACCUUCGGAGGACCAAGGAAU